UUAACCGAUGGUUUUGAUACGGU
rnacentral:snRNA from 1 species